rnacentral:lncRNA from 1 species
GGCGGGGCCAGGCGUGGGAACGCGGCGACGCUCUCGCGGCGCUUUGCGAGCCUAUAAAAAGCGCGGGCGCAUGUGCGGCGCAGUGCUGGGCCGGAGGCGGCGCCGAGCCGGUUCGUCUAUCCGUCUGUCAGUCCGUCCGUCCGUCCGUCCGUCCGGGCCGGGGCAGCGCCGUGCCGUGCCUGGUGGUAUCCCCCUACCCCUCAGCGUCUUCUCCUCCGCCAGCUGCCGUUGCCUGGGUUCCUGUAUGUGCGACCGCGUCUCCAGCCCUAUGAGGUAAUCCCAGAAGAUCUUUCUUUGCCAAACCCAGGGGCUGAUGCAUCCCCUUCCCUGCUCCGGUGCCGGACUCCUGCAUUCCAGGAUCCUGUUCCCACUGAUGGGAAUGAGGGUUUCUCCUCCCCAUUCUCUCUUAGCCUCGCUUGCUGCAGGUGUGUAUCUCCAGUGGAGAGAGCCAGUAACAGGAGAGGUGUCCUGCUGGCAGUCAGUGGC